rnacentral:rRNA from 1 species
AGCAGCCGCGGUAAUUCCAGCUCCAAUAGCGUAUAUUAAGGUUGUUGCAGUUAAAAAGCUCGUAGUCGAAUUUCGGGAUCAAUACGUUGGUCGUGCUUUCGGGUACGUACUGGCGUCGUUGGUUUCUCUCUUCUGACGAACCAUGAUGUCAUUAGUUUGGUGUUAUGGGGAGUUAGGACUGUUACUUUGAAAAAAUUAGAGUGUUUAAAGCAGGCAUUAGCUUGAAUACAUUAGCAUGGAAUAAUGAAAUAGGACGUUUGAUCCUAUUUUGUUGGUUUCUAGGAUCGACGUAAUGAUUAAUAGGGAUAGUUGGGGGCAUUAGUAUUCAAUUGUCAGAGGUGAAAUUCUUGGAUUUAUUGAAGACUAACUACUGCGAAAGCAUUUGCCAAGGAUGUUUUCAUUAAUCAAGAACGAAAGUUAGGGGAUCGAAGACGAUCAGAUACCGUCGUAGUCUUAACCAUAAACUAUGCCGACUAGGGAUCGGAUGAUGUUAAUUUUUAAUGACUCAUUCGGCGCCUUA